rnacentral:rRNA from 1 species
AACGAACGCUGGCGGCAUGCCUAACACAUGCAAGUCGAACGAGACCUUCGGGUCUAGUGGCGCACGGGUGCGUAACGCGUGGGAACCUGCCCUUAGGUUCGGAAUAACUCCCCGAAAGGGGUGCUAAUACCGGAUAAUGUCUUCGGACCAAAGAUUUAUCGCCUUUGGAUGGGCCCGCGUUGGAUUAGCUAGUUGGUAGGGUAAAAGCCUACCAAGGCGACGAUCCAUAGCUGGUCUGAGAGGAUGAUCAGCCACACUGGGACUGAGACACGGCCCAGACUCCUACGGGAGGCAGCAGUGGGGAAUAUUGGACAGUGGGCGAAAGCCUGAUCCAGCAAGGCCGCGUGAGUGAUGAAGGCCUUAGGGUUGUAAAGCUCUUUUACCCGGGAUGAUAAUGACAGUACCGGGAGAAUAAGCUCCGGCUAACUCCGU